rnacentral:rRNA from 1 species
UACGUAGGUGGCAAGCGUUGUCCGGAUUUAUUGGGUUUAAAGGGUGCGUAGGCGGCCUUGUAAGUCAGUGGUGAAAUACUCCAGCUUAACUGGAGGGGUGCCAAUGAUACUGCAGGGCUUGAGUACAGAUGAGGUAGGCGGAAUUGACGGUGUAGCGGUGAAAUGCAUAGAUAUCGUCAAGAACACCGAUAGCGAAGGCAGCUUACUGGGCUGUAACUGACGCUGAGGCACGAAAGCGAGGGGAGCAAACGGG